GGCGCUGUGGCUUAGUUGGUCAAAGUUUUGUCUAGUAAACAGAAGAUCCUGGGUUCAAAUCCCAGCAGUGCCU
rfam:Danio rerio chromosome 4, GRCz11 reference primary assembly.